rnacentral:rRNA from 1 species
UACGAAGGGGGCUAGCGUUGUUCGGAAUCACUGGGCGUAAAGCGCACGCAGGCGGAUCGUUAAGUCGGGGGUGAAAUCCCGAGGCUCAACCUCGGAACUGCCUUCGAUACUGGCGAUCUUUUGAGUCCGGGAGAGGUGAGUGGAACUCCGAGUGUAGAGGUGAAAUUCGUAGAUAUUCGGAAGAACACCAGUGGCGAAGGCGGCUCACUGGCCCGGUACUGACGCUCAGGUGCGAAAGCGUGGGGAGCAAACAGG